rnacentral:sRNA from 1 species
UUAAAGGAAUUAGAUUGUUAGCUCCAGGGCCAGAACAGGCUCAGCUGCAAUUGAAGUUUCCCCCUACACUGCCCCACCAACGUGCCUCAUCCCUGACCUGGAGAGACCACCUCUAAGGUGAGAGAGCAGUUCAGUGUCCAAGCCCAUUUAAUUCUUUGUCACG